CAGUAAGCAACAGAACCGUUCACCUGACAGAUGACUAUUCGAGUUGACAUUAUUCUGCAUCUUUUCGAUCUUCUCUUGCCAAGUGCUAGAGACUGUCAGGGAGAGCCCGCCAGAUACAUAGGCACUGUUGGCCUGGGGGUUGAGAGCUCAUAAGAGUCUUGAAGGCGGAGGUUACCCAGUGAUCCUCGUGCUGCAAACUGGAGUGGAAAUCAAAGGAUGACAGCCAACAUAAACAGCGGCUGCAUGUGGAAUGUCAAAGUGAAGACGGAUAGAGGUGCAGAGGGGGCUGCAACAGCCAACGCAGGUUAUAGAACUCCUGAGAGUUGGAGGUGGUGUCGGGCGCUAAGCCCUCUACAAGCAAAAGAGGGAAGUUAACUCGAGCUGAGACCUCAACAAAUCAGGUCGUGAAGUUUAAGCACUGAAUCUAGGAGAAUUCAGAAGAGGAAAUUCAUUUUUUUCUUCUGUCCGCUGGGACUCUGUGAGACUGGGAACUCAUAGGCAACGUUUCUAAAGGACAAUAAGCAUGAUAAUGAGAAGUUGAAAAGAGGUGCCUUUGGUAAGGACAUAGGAUUUUCAAAACUGGCCUGUAAGGCUGGCUUAAAUCUUGUGUUUUUAAAAAGAGGAAUUUCUCCUCUUCAUUCAGAUGAUGGAGCCUUCAUAAUUUUUCUUCUGUUAUUUCCUCUGCCUGGAAAUUUUUGCCCAUGUCUUCACAUGCUAACACUAUUCUCUGUCCUUUAAGUAUUGGCCAUGUUUGUAGAUAGAACGUCUUAUUUCUUCUCUCUCCAAAUGAUCCUUUCUUUUUCUUAACCUCCUAUUGUAUUUCUAGCCUUUAAUUUUUAAUGGGAUUGGUC
rnacentral:lncRNA from 1 species